AGAGUUUGAUCCUGGCUCAGGAUGAACGCUGGCGGCGUGCCUAACACAUGCAAGUCGAGCGAUUCUCUUCGGAGAAGAGCGGCGGACGGGUGAGUAACGCGUGGGUAACCUGCCCUGUACACACGGAUAACAUACCGAAAGGUAUGCUAAUACGAGAUAACAUAAGAAAUUCGCAUGUUUUUCUUAUCAAAGCUCCGGCGGUACAGGAUGGACCCGCGUCUGAUUAGCUAGUUGGUGAGGUAAUGGCUCACCAAGGCGACGAUCAGUAGCCGACCUGAGAGGGUGAUCGGCCACAUUGGAACUGAGACACGGUCCAAACUCCUACGGGAGGCAGCAGUGGGGAAUAUUGCACAAUGGGCGAAAGCCUGAUGCAGCAACGCCGCGUGAGCGAUGAAGGCCUUCGGGUCGUAAAGCUCUGUCCUCAAGGAAGAUAAUGACGGUACUUGAGGAGGAAGCCCCGGCUAACUACGUGCCAGCAGCCGCGGUAAUACGUAGGGGGCUAGCGUUAUCCGGAUUUACUGGGCGUAAAGGGUGCGUAGGCGGUCUUUUAAGUCAGGAGUGAAAGGCUACGGCUCAACCGUAGUAAGCUCUUGAAACUGGAGGACUUGAGUGCAGGAGAGGAGAGUGGAAUUCCUAGUGUAGCGGUGAAAUGCGUAGAUAUUAGGAGGAACACCAGUAGCGAAGGCGGCUCUCUGGACUGUAACUGACGCUGAGGCACGAAAGCGUGGGGAGCAAACAGGAUUAGAUACCCUGGUAGUCCACGCCGUAAACGAUGAGUACUAGCUGUCGGGUGGUUACCCCCUUCGGUGGCGCAGCUAACGCAUUAAGUACUCCGCCCGGGGAGUACGCUCGCCAGAGUGAAACUCAAAGGAAUUGACGGGGACCCGCACAGGAGGCGGAGCAUGUGGUUUAAUUCGAAGCAACGCGAAGUUCCUUACCUAAGCUUGACAUCCUUUUGACCGAUGCCUUAAUCGCAUCUUUCCCUUCGGGGACAGAAGUGACAGGUGGUGCAUGGUUGUCGUCAGCUCGUGUCGUGAGAUGUUGGGUUAAGUCCCGCAACGAGCGCAACCCUUGCCUUUAGUUGCCAUCAUUAAGUUGGGCACUCUAGAGGGACUGCCAGGGAUAACCUGGAGGAAGGUGGGGAUGACGUCAAAUCAUCAUGCCCCUUAUGCUUAGGGCUACACACGUGCUACAAUGGGUGGUACAGAGGGCAGCGAAGUCGUGAGGCCAAGCUAAUCCCUUAAAGCCAUUCUCAGUUCGGAUUGUAGGCUGAAACUCGCCUACAUGAAGCUGGAGUUACUAGUAAUCGCAGAUCAGAAUGCUGCGGUGAAUGCGUUCCCGGGUCUUGUACACACCAGCCCGUCA
rnacentral:rRNA from 1 species